rnacentral:tRNA from 1 species
GCCGAGAUGGCGGAAUUGGUAGACGCGCUGGCUUCAGGUGCCAGUAGUGGCAACACUGUGGAGGUUCGAGUCCUCUUCUCGGCA